CUACUCCUUCGGGAGGCAGCCGUAGGGAAUCUUCCGCAAUGGACGAAAGUCUGACGGAGCAACGCCGCGUGAGUGAUGAAGGCCUUCGGGUCGUAAAACUCUGUGUUAGGGAAGAACAAGUGCUAGUGAAUAAGCUGGYACCUGACGUACUAGC
rnacentral:rRNA from 1 species